rnacentral:rRNA from 1 species
AGAGUGAACGCUGGCGGCAGGCCUAACACAUGCAAGUCGAACGGCAGCACAGGGGAGCUUGCUCCCUGGGUGGCGAGUGGCGGACGGGUGAGGACAACGUCGGAAUCUGCCUUUUUGUGGGGGAUAACGUAGGGAAACUUACGCUAAUACCGCAUACGACCCCGGGCCGGGAGGUUCGGGGUGAAAGCGGAGGACCUUCGGGCUUCGCGCAGAAAGAUGAGCCGACGUCGGAUUAGCUAGUUGGUGGGGUAAAGCCCACCAAGGCGACGAUCCGUAGCUGGUCUGAGAGGAUGAUCAGCCACACUGGAACUGAGACACGGUCCAGACUCCUACGGGAGCAGCAGUGGGAAUAUUGGACAAGUGGG